UACGUAGGGGGCAAGCGUUGUCCGGAAUCAUUGGGCGUAAAGAGCGCGUAGGCGGUCCGGUAAGUCCGCUCUGAAAGUCCGGGGCUCAACCCCGGGAGGCGGGCGGAUACUGCCGGGCUAGAGUCCGGAAGAGGCGAGUGGAAUUCCUGGUGUAGCGGUGAAAUGCGCAGAUAUCAGGAGGAACACCCGUGGCGAAAGCGGCUCUCUGGGACGGUACUGACGCUGAGGUGCGAAAGCGUGGGGAGCGAACAGG
rnacentral:rRNA from 1 species